AUUGAACGCUGGCGGCAUGCUUUACACAUGCAAGUCGAACGGUAACAGGCCGCAAGGUGCUGACGAGUGGCGAACGGGUGAGUAAUGCAUCGGAACGUGCCCAGUCGUGGGGGAUAACUACUCGAAAGAGUAGCUAAUACCGCAUACGAUCUAUGGAUGAAAGCGGGGGACCGUAAGGCCUCGCGCGAUUGGAGCGGCCGAUGUCAGAUUAGGUAGUUGGUGGGGUAAAGGCUCACCAAGCCAACGAUCUGUAGCUGGUCUGAGAGGACAACCAGCCACACUGGGACUGAGACACGGCCCAGACUCCUACGGGAGGCAGCAGUGGGGAAUUUUGGACAAAGGGCGCAAGCCUGAUCCGGCAAUGCCGCGUGCAGGAAGAAGGCCUUCGGGUUGUAAACUGCUUUUGUACGGAACGAAACGGCUCUGGUUAAUACCCGGGGCUAAUGACGGUACCGUAAGAAUAAGCACCGGCUAACUACGUG
rnacentral:rRNA from 1 species